rnacentral:rRNA from 1 species
CAGUGACUUUUAGUUAAACGGCCGCGGUAUUUUGACCGUGCAAAGGUAGCAUAAUCAUUUGCCUCUUAAAUAGGGGCUGGUAUGAAUGGUGAGACGGGGGUUUAGCUGUCUCUUUUUUAGUAAGGUUGAAUUUAAUGUUUUUGUGAAGAAGCAGAAAUGGGAUCGUAGGACGAGAAGACCCUGUCGAGCUUGAAUAAUGAGAAUAAAUGUUAAGAGGAUUCCUUUUGCUAAUUUAUCCUUAGGGGCUGGUAGUGUUACGUGAGGUGUAGAUAUAUUAUAUUUAUUUCAUUUUGAUUGGGGCAAUCGCGUAGGAUAUGUAACCUUCGUUAAAAAUAUAAGUGUAGUAAAGUGACUUCUUUAUAGUAUAAAGAUAUGUAGUGUGAUCCAUAAAUAGUGAGCAAAGGAAUAAGUUACCGCAGGGAUAACAGCGUAAUUUUUUUGGAGAGUUCAUAUUGAUAAAAGAGUUUGCGACCUCGAUGUUGGAUCGGGAUUUCCUGGGGAUGCAGC